rfam:Ixodes scapularis strain Wikel colony gcontig_1108379168712, whole genome shotgun sequence.
GUCAGGAUGGCCGAGCGGUCUAAGGCGCUGCGUUCAGGUCGCAGUCCGGUCUUCCGGGCGUGGGUUCGAAUCCCACUUCUGACA